rnacentral:rRNA from 1 species
AGUGAACGCUGGCGGUAGGCCUAACACAUGCAAGUCGAACGGCAGCACAGAGGAGCUUGCUCCUUGGGUGGCGAGUGGCGGACGGGUGAGGAAUACAUCGGAAUCUACUCUGUCGUGGGGGAUAACGUAGGGAAACUUACGCUAAUACCGCAUACGACCUACGGGCGAAAGCAGGGGAUCUUCGGACCUUGCGCGAUUGAAUGAGCCGAUGUCGGAUUAGCUAGUUGGCGGGGUAAAGGCCCACCAAGGCGACGAUCCGUAGCUGGUCUGAGAGGAUGAUCAGCCACACUGGAACUGAGACACGGUCCAGACUCCUACGGGAGGCAGCAGUGGGGAAUAUUGGACAAUGGGCGCAAGCCUGAUCCAGCCAUACCGCGUGGGUGAAGAAGGCCUUCGGGUUGUAAAGCCCUUUUGUUGGGAAAGAAAUCCAGCCGGCUAAUACCUGGUUGGGAUGACGGUACCCAAAGAAUAAGCACCGGCUAACUUCGUGCCAGCAGCCGCGGUAAUACGAAGGGUGCAAGCGUUACUCGGAAUUACUGGGCGUAAAGCGUGCGUAGGUGGUUAUUUAAGUCCGUUGUGAAAGCCCUGGGCUCAACCUGGGAACUGCAGUGGAUACUGGAUGACUAGAAUGUGGUAGAGGGUAGCGGAAUUCCUGGUGUAGCAGUGAAAUGCGUAGAGAUCAGGAGGAACAUCCAUGGCGAAGGCAGCUACCUGGACCAACAUUGACACUGAGGCACGAAAGCGUGGGGAGCAAACAGG